rfam:Homo sapiens chromosome 11, GRCh38 reference primary assembly.
GCUAGGCAUUGUGGUCUGUGCCUGCAGUCCCAGCUACUUGGGAGGCUGAGGCAGGAGGAUUGCUUGAGCCCAGGAGGUUGAGGCUGCAGUGAGCCGUGAUUUGCACCACUGCACUCCAUCCUGGGCCACAGAGCAAGACCCUGUCUCAA